CCACUGGGCCAGCUCGCCCUGCCGCCGCCACCCCUGCAUUUGAGCACUGACCCACACCACGUUUUCAGAAGGAAGGGACAAAGAUCAGGCAACACCCUCCGGCUGUAUCCAAAGUUCACCUGGCUUGGUUGCUGUUUUCAGGGUAACUUCACGGUGAAGAUACCGCCUCAAACUGCUAGAGAGGUACGGAGAAGAGAGAAGGUGCAGCUGAAAGUUUCCCAGGCCUAUUGCUUCCCUGAGAGGAUUAUAGAACAACUGAGCUGGCAGGAGGCGUGAACAAAAUCCCUAAGAAGUCAAAUAAUCCACACAUCAACUAAUACAAGCUAAAGUGAGGCCUUAAAUAUAAUGUGAGAUGUCAAUUGGACUAAAGGAGGAACAAUGAAAUCUGGCAACAUUUAUUAUACCUACUGUAUGUGUAGUAUCACAACUGUCCUAAAUGAUUUUCAUUCAUUGGUUUAUUUAAUAACUACAAAGGUCCUCUGGGAAUAGUUACUAUUCCUUCACCAUUUUUAUGGAUGAAUGAAAGAAUACCUGCCCAAGAUAGCACAACCAGUAAGUGGUAAAAGAGAAGCUUUUAAGUUAGGCAACUGAAACACAGAGCCUUUGUGGUGCCCUUCUUUACAGCUACUACAAACUUUUGUGCAUUCCCAUCCCCACUCAUACCUCAUAGAAGACUUUCUAUUACAUGUUCUCAAGGAACAUACAGGAAACUCAAGGAAAGUUCCAAUUAUUCUCGAUCAAACUUUUUGUUCUUCUGAAGAAUUUUUAGGAUCAGAAAAUGAGAGCCCCUGCUCUCUCUCACACUCAAAAAAUAAAGACAAGUAAGGGGUUAAAGAAAAUAGACUCAGACAA